UACAGAGGUCUCAAGCGUUGUUCGGAUUCAUUGGGCGUAAAGGGUGCGUAGGCGGCGCGGUAAGUCGGGUGUGAAAUCUCGGAGCUUAACUCCGAAACUGCAUUCGAUACUGCCGUGCUUGAGGACUGGAGAGGAGACUGGAAUUUACGGUGUAGCGGUGAAAUGCGUUGAUAUCCUAAGGAACACCGGUGGCGAAAGCGGCUCACUGGACCUCUUCUGACGCUGAGGCACGAAAGCUAGGGUAGCGAACGGG
rnacentral:rRNA from 1 species